AACGAACGCUGGCGGCAUGCCUAACACAUGCAAGUCGAACGAUGCCUUCGGGCAUAGUGGCGCACGGGUGCGUAACGCGUGGGAAUCUGCCCUUGGCUUCGGAAUAACAGUUAGAAAUGACUGCUAAUACCGGAUGAUGUCCCCCUGAGAGAUCUUGGGGACCAAAGAUUUAUCGGCCAGGGAUGAGCCCGCGUAGGAUUAGGUAGUUGGUGGGGUAAAGGCCUACCAAGCCGACGAUCCUUAGCUGGUCUGAGAGGAUGAUCAGCCACACUGGGACUGAGACACGGCCCAGACUCCUACGGGAGGCAGCAGUGGGGAAUAUUGGACAAUGGGAGGAACCCUGAUCCAGCAAUGCCGCGUGAGUGAUGAAGGCCUUAGGGUUGUAAAGCUCUUUUACCAGGGAUGAUAAUGACAGUACCUGGAGAAUAAGCUCCGGCUAACUCCGUG
rnacentral:rRNA from 1 species